rnacentral:rRNA from 1 species
GAUGAACGCUGGCGGCGUGCCUAAUACAUGCAAGUCGAGCGAAUGGAUUAAGAGCUUGCUCUUAUGAAGUUAGCUGCGGACGGGUGAGUAACACGUGGGUAACCUGCCCAUAAGACUGGUAUAACUCCGGGAAACCGGGGCUAAUACCGGAUAACAUUUUGAACCGCAUGGUGCGAAAGUGAACGGCGGCUUCGGCUCUCACUUACGGAUCGACCCGCGUCGCAUUAGCUAGUUGGUGAGGUAACGGCUCACCAAGGCAACGAUGCGUAGCCGACCUGAGAGGGUGAUCGGCCACACUGGGACUGAGACACGGCACAGACUCCUACGGGAGGCAGCAGUAGGGAAUCUUCCGCAAUGGACGAAAGUCUGACGGAGCAACGCCGCGUGAGUGAUGAAGGCUUUCGGGUCGUAAAACUCUGUUGUUAGGGAAGAACAAGUGCUAGUUGAAUAAGCUGGCACCUUGACGGUACCUAACCAGAAAGCCACGGCUAACUACGUGCCAGCAGCCGCAGUAA